CCGAUGGAGGGGGAUAACUACUGGAAACGGUAGCUAAUACCGCAUAACGUCGCAAGACCAAGAGGGGGACCUUAGGGCCUCUUGCCAUCGGAUGUGCCCAGAUGGGAUUAGCUAGUAGGUGGGGUAAAGGCUCACCUAGGCGACGAUCCCUAGCUGGUCUGAGAGGAUGACCAGCCACACUGGAACUGAGACACGGUCCAG
rnacentral:rRNA from 1 species